AAGGCUCCCCAUCCGGGCGGCGGGCGGCUCAGCCCCUUCCCGAGGGCGCCGGGGCCGGGACUCGGGCGGGCGCGGGGCGGCCCCGCAUCGCCAGCGCGGCUGCAGGCAGUGCGCGCCGCUAGGCUCCCGGGGCUGGCUCCUCUCCGGCUGCGGGAGCCGGCGCCGCUGCGCUCCGAGCCCUGGCGCGGCGCGAACUGAGGCGCGAGGCUGGGCGGGGGCGGGACGCGGGGGCCGGGGGGCGGUGUCCCCAGAGUCCUAACGCCGCCGCCGUCGCCGCCGCCCGCCCGGGCGCUCCGCCUCGGCCACGCACACACACCCUCGCGCGCACGCCCGCCCGCGCCUGGCACACGCCCGCGGCUGCCACUCGCGGGCUCCCCCACGCACCCUCUCCUCCACGGCUGGCCGGCUCGGGGCCGCUCGCGCACUCAAGCGCGUACACACAUCGCUCUUGCACCCACAGGAUCUGCGGGGUAUUCGCCUCUUCGCCCCGCGCCACACCACCCAGCUGAGCAUCGUCUUCAGGCUACGCUGCGGGGGCGCAGGCCAGUUCUUCUAGACACCUGGAUGACAGCUUAGCAUGAAGAGCCAGCUGCCUUCUCUUCGAGCCAAAGCAUCAGUACGUGGUCCAGACCAUUGGCAAGUAGACCUGGGCAUCCAGAAUUUACAGCUCGGACUGCAUCUCUGCAUCUCGCCCAAAGGGAGUCUAUGAAGCAGCUGCUUCUCUUAAUUAAAAAGGAAACUCAGAGAUGAGCCAUGGAGGCUUGCCACUCACAUUUGCCUGGACACUGCCGGACAAUGGGGGAUGUCCUCACCCACAGGUGACACCACCCUCCGCUCAGGCUGAGAGACCACACAACACACUGGGGACAGGGUAGUGUUCAUGUCUGGGUCUUGCUUCCAACCAAGUGGCUUUCCUGAUAAAAUUAGGGAGAAAAAGCCACAGUUCACAAGGCAGCCUGGUGUCCUAGCAUUGGAUAUGCACCUAUUGAUCGAUUGACUAUUGGGUGGUUGGUUUUUUAAGAUAGCCUCUCUGGGAAGCCCUGGCUAUCCUGGAACUCACUCUGUAGAUCAGGCUGGCCUUGAACUCAAGAGAUCUACCUGCCUCUGCCUCCUGAGUUCUGGAAUUAAAGGCAUGUUCCACCACUACCUGGCUAAGUACCUUUUUAGAGCCUUAAAGUCUCUCAGGAUUCUUAGCCCUUCUACAAGCCCCUAACUACCAAUCUGGAUUCCAGAAGGUUCCAGGUCCGGAUGGAACUCAUCACACUGAAAAUCUGAACCUGUUACUCCUGUCUGUCCACUGAACUCCACCUUUAGUUCCUGCCCAACCCUUCUCACAACCAUGAAGGAAAUUCUGAAGACACUCCACAAGUGGUCACUCACCAGGCAGGUAGAUCUCUUGAGUUCGAGGCCAGCCUGAUCUACAGAGUGAUCUACAACUUCACACACUACUACUGCCCUGCUGCCUACAGCAUGAAGUCCACAACCCCAACUCCAGCCAACUGGACCCUCCAGUGGCUGGGCAGCCUGCCUGAGCCCUCCCCUCCCAUAAUAGCCUCCCCCCAGGGAACUCUUUGCCAAGUAGAGAAGAUGAGCAUUCAGAGUACUGGAAUAGCCUAGGCAAGUGCUCAAAGACCUGAAAGAGUAUGUGUUCAACGUUCCAGGAUGUACUGAAGGCUGUUCCUGAUGCUUGUCUAUGCCUCAGUUUUAUUUGCUCUAUCCCUUGUUCACACACAUUCUUUACUCCAAGCUGCACAAAACAGAUUCCCAUCACUGCCCUCUGGGCCUUUGCCUGUACAGCCCACUCUUUCCCAUAUGCCAGGGUCAAAUUACUUAUCUGGGCAUCCAACCCCUUCAAGGAUCAAUGCGGAGCAUUGUCCACAAGCUAGGCUGUCUGGAUUGCUCUUCAUUUCAUUUGUAAGUCUCCCAUUUCUACAAUGUUGAGAGUGCCAGGAUACGUGUCUCAUAUCCUCGAGUCUCCACAGCCAAGCCCCAACUAACACUCAAUAAAUGUUGCUGAUGACCACAGUCUAGUUUACCAGCCAAGAUCAAAUACAUUUAGGAUGUUAUUCCCAAGCAAGAGUAUCUAUGUCCAUUUAUAAAUAGGCAAGGAGCCAACUCUUCAGAAAGAACCCAUAGUCAAGGUCUCAAGUAUGCACAUGGAGAAGUUCCAGGGUGACAUUUUCCAAGAUGUCCCAAGUCCUAGGAAACAAGUGCUCUUGGUAAUAACUCAAUCACCUCAUGGUCACAAACCCAGGACUUCAGGGAAAAGCUUGGAUGUUUGUCCUAUGUGUCAGGCUGGGCCCAGGGAACUCUUGUUAAAGGACACAAGAGGAUGGCUCUGCUGUUUGGGUUGACACUGACCCAGCAAAGGUUUUACUGCCAACCUACUACCAGAAGCACCACCCAGGGAGCAGCCAUGAUGAAGGGCUCAGAGCCUUUGGUAGCCUGCCUUCCCAUGAGGCAAAGUCUUCUCCCAGUGUGGCAUUUUCCCCCCUUAGCCUCCUUUCAUUUCUUACUCCCCUUUCCUCUCUGUGUCUUAGCUCUCCUUCUCUGUGUGAGUAGUUAGAGAACCUGGACAGUGGCCUCUUCAUAGAUUGGUACCUCCCGGAAAUGAAACAUCUCUGGCGGUGAAGGACCUGAGUUACCCAUUCAGAAUCCACACUUAGAAAAGCAAAGCCAGGUGUAGGGGCUGACACAAAGGCUCUGUGGCAGAAGGCACUUGCCUGGCAAGCCCAGAGGUCUGAAUCUGAUGUGACGAAUCCAUAGAAAGAUGGAAAGAACUUACUCCACACAAAUUUGUCCUCAUGUGUCAUGAUAUGUGUUCAAAUGUGUUCAAGUACACACACAUGUACAUGUGUACAAUAUACACUAAUAAAAUAAUAAUAA